UACGAAGGGGGCUAGCGUUGCUCGGAAUCACUGGGCGUAAAGCGCACGUAGGCGGAUUGCUAAGUCAGGGGUGAAAUCCUGGAGCUCAACUCCAGAACUGCCUUUGAUACUGGCGACCUUGAGUCCGGGAGAGGUGAGUGGAACUGCGAGUGUAGAGGUGAAAUUCGGUAGAUAUUCGCAAGAACACCAGUGGCGAAGGCGGCUCACUGGCCCGGUACUGACGCUGAGGUGCGAAAGCGUGGGGAGCAAACAGG
rnacentral:rRNA from 1 species